rnacentral:rRNA from 1 species
CCUACGGGAGGCAGUAGUGAGGAAUAUUGGUCAAUGGACGAGAGUCUGAACCAGCCAAGUAGCGUGAAGGAUGACUGCCCUAUGGGUUGUAAACUUCUUUUAUAUGGGAAUAAAAUGUUCCACGUGUGGGAUUUUGUAUGUACCAUAUGAAUAAGAAUCGGCUAACUCAGUGCCAGCAGCCGCGGUAAUACGGAGGAUCCGAGCGUUAUCCGGAUUUUUUGGGUUUAAAGGGAGCGUAGGUGGAUUGUUAAGUCAGUUGUGAAAGUUUGCGGCUCAACCGUAAAAUUGCAGUUGAAACUGGCAGUCUUGAGUACAGUAGAGGUGAGCGGAAUUCGUGGUGUAGCGGUGAAAUGCUUAGAUAUCACGAAGAACUCCGAUUGCGAAGGCAGCUCACUGGACUGCAACUGACACUGAGGCUCGAAAGUGUGGGUAUCAAACAGGAUUAGAUACCCGUGUAGUC